rnacentral:tRNA from 1 species
GAUGGUGUAGCUCAGUGGUAGAGCGCAUGCUUAGGAUGCACAAAGUCCUGGGUUCGCUUCUCAGUACCUCCA